rnacentral:rRNA from 1 species
UACGGAGGGAGCUAGCGUUGUUCGGAAUCACUGGGCGUAAAGCGCACGUAGGCGGACUCUUAAGUCGGUGGUGAAAUCCUGGAGCUCAACUCCAGAACUGCCUUCGAUACUGAGAGUCUUGAGUCCGGGAGAGGUGAGUGGAACUGCGAGUGUAGAGGUGAAAUCGUAGAUAUUCGCAAGAACACCAGUGGCGAAGGCGGCUCACUGGCCCGGUACUGACGCUGAGGUGCGAAAGCGGUGGGGAGCAAACAGG